rnacentral:lncRNA from 1 species
UGGUUUGGCCAACAAUGCCUACAUCUAAUGUCCUUCCACCCUUGGAAGCAAAUGCACUAUAGCUGCACACAAAAAUAUAAAUCUCCUCUCUAAUUUAUAUAAUGGUUGCGGUUUUUACAACAAGGAAUUUAUAGAAGCACCACGCAAAAAUAUAAAUCUCCUCUCUAACCCAAAAUCAAAUAUAGCUGCACACAAAAACCAGAAUUGCAGCAAGAAUCCC